AACGUAGUUUGAUCAUGGCUCAGAUUGAACGCUGGCGGCAGGCUUAAACACAUGCAAGUCGUAGCGGAGACUUCGGUCAUAGCGGCGAACGGGUGAGUAAUACCUAGGAAUCUGCCUAUUAGUGGGGGAUAACGAAUCGAAAGGUUCGCUAAUACCGCAUACGUCCUACGGGAGAAAGGGGGGGAUCUUCGGACCUCUCGCUAAUAGAUGAGCCUAGGCCGGAUUAGCUAGUUGGUAGGGUAAAGGCCUACCAAGGCGACGAUCUGUAGCUGGUCUGAGAGGAUGGCCAGCCACACUGGAACUGAGACACGGUCCAGACUCCUACGGGAGGCAGCAGUGGGGAAUAUUGGACAAUGGGGGCAACCCUGAUCCAGCCAUGCCGCGUGUGUGAAGAAGGCCUUCGGGUUGUAAAGCACUUUAAGCGAGGAGGAAGGUUUUAGUUUAAUACACUAAAGAAUUGACGUUACUCGCAGAAUAAGCACCGGCUAACUCUGUG
rnacentral:rRNA from 1 species